rnacentral:rRNA from 1 species
AACGAACGCUGGCGGCGCGCCUAAUACAUGCAAGUCGAGCGAGAAGACGUAGCAAUACGUUUGUAAAGCGGCGAACGGGUGAGGAAUACAUGGGUAACCUACCCUCGAGUGGGGAAUAACUAGCCGAAAGGUUAGCUAAUACCGCGUACGCUUCUUGGACUUCGGUUCAGGGAGGAAAGCGAUACCGUGGGUAUCGCGCUCUUGGAUGGGCUCAUGUCCUAUCAGCUUGUUGGGAGGUAACGGCUCACCAAGGCUUCGACGGGUAGCUGGUCUGAGAGGACGAUCAGCCACACUGGCACUGCGACACGGGCCAGACUCCUACGGGAGGCAGCAGUAAGGAAUAUUGCGCAAUGGGCGAAAGCCUGACGCAGCGACGCCGC